CCUACGGGGGGCAGCAGUGAGGAAUAGUGGUCAAUGGGCGUAAGCCUGAACCAGCCAAGUCGCGUGAGGGAUGAAGGUUCUAUGGAUCGUAAACCUCUUUUAUAAGGGAAUAAAGUGUGGGACGUGUCCUAUUUUGUAUGUACCUUAUGAAUAAGGAUCGGCUAACUCCGUGCCAGCAGCCGCGGUAAUACGGAGGAUCCGAGCGUUAUCCGGAUUUAUUGGGUUUAAAGGGUGCGUAGGCGGCCUUUUAAGUCAGCGGUGAAAGUGUGUGGCUAAACCAUAGAAUUGCCGUUGAAACUGGGGGGCUUUCUUAUGUUUGCGGCAGGCGGCAUGCGUGUUGUCGCGGU
rnacentral:rRNA from 1 species